rnacentral:ncRNA from 1 species
UAGUAUUUUAGGUGCUUUUUAAAAGUGAAAAGGGAAUAUGGUUAGAAUCCAUAGCAGCCCCCGCUACUGUAAAUGAUGACGACCCUCAAAAUACCACUCUGAAUAGGGGAAGGUGAGGUUAGAAUGAUUCAUAAGCCAGGAGACCUGCCUAAAUG